rnacentral:rRNA from 1 species
GAUGAACGCUGACAGAAUGCUUAACACAUGCAGGUCUACUUGAAUUUGGGCUUUUUCACUUAGAUUUGGGUGGCGGACGGGUGAGUAACGCGUAAAGAACUUGCCUCACAGCUAGGGACAACAUUUGGAAACGAAUGCUAAUACCUGAUAUUAUGAUUAUAAGGCAUCUUAGAAUUAUGAAAGCUAUAUGCGCUGUGAGAGAGCUUUGCGUCCCAUUAGCUAGUUGGAGAGGUAACGGCUCACCAAGGCGAUGAUGGGUAGCCGGCCUGAGAGGGUGAACGGCCACAAGGGGACUGAGACACGGCCCUUACUCCUACGGGAGGCAGCAGUGGGGAAUAUUGGACAAUGGACCAAGAGUCUGAUCCAGCAAUUCUGUGUGCACGAUGACGUUUUUCGGAAUGUAAAGUGCUUUCAGUUGGGAAGAAAAAAAUGACGGUACCAACAGAAGAAGUGACGGCUAAAUACGUG